rnacentral:rRNA from 1 species
AUUGAACGCUGGCGGCAGGCCUAACACAUGCAAGUCGAGCGGAGCGGCGGAGGGGGGAGUAAUGCCUAGGAAUCUGCGUGGUAGUGGGGGAUAACGUCAGGAAAUGGGCGCUAAUACCGCUUACUAUCAGAUGAGCCUAGGUCGGAUUAGCUAGUUGGUGGGGUAAAGGCCUACCAAGGCGACGAACAGGAACUGGUGCGAGAGGAGGAUCAGUCACACUGGAACUGCGACACGGUCCAGACUCCUACGGGAGGCAGCAGUGGGGAAUAUUUGACAAUGGGCGAAAGCCUGAUCCAGCCAUGCCGCGUGUUUGAAGAAGGUCUUCGGUUUGUAAAGCACUUUCAGUUGGGAGGCGUUACCAACAGAAUAAGCACCGGCUAACUUCGUGCCAGCAGCCGCGGUAAUAC